UCUAUGCUUGGAAUAAGGAUGAUGAAUUAAUUGCUGAGGGUCGUCUAUGGUCAACUGAACCAAAAGAACUGGUAAACGACAUUCCGUUGGGUCCGAAUGCUGCUAUUGUCACGGUUGAUGGGGUAUUUAAAAAAGAUAGAUAUCUGUGGAGGCCAAAUGCUGAAAUGUUGGUGAUUGGUGAUGCACUUGGUAAGAACAUCCCAUGGCCUAUCCACAAUAUUCAAAUGGCUUAUUGUGUACAGGCAAGCAGGGAUGAAAGGAUGUCAAAAAGUAGAUCACUUGGGAGUGUACAAGCAAGCAAAGAUGAAACGAUUUUCAAAAAAUUGAUCACCUGGGAGUGUAGGUAACAGCUCUAACACCAACACAAAUGAGAAAAAGUGCAUUCUUUUAGAUUCCAAUGGAUCUGAAGAAAAGGUUGCAGAAGGUCGAGUUAUCUCAACAAAUCCAGAAGAUAGAGUUCAUUUUGUCGCUUUGGGUCCCAAUGCAAGUAAGGUUUGGGUUGAUGUUCCUACGAUUGAUGAUGCCCCAAUUUGGAGAGCAAAUUCAGAAAUUAAAAUCAUUGCUGAUGCUUUGGGUAGUAUAAUAGCUUGGCCAAAUGACAAACUUGUUUACAUUUAAAACUCUGGUCGAUCUUGUGUUUUUAUUUUG